GAUCAACGCUGGCGGCGUGCCUAAUGCAUGCAAGUCGAGCGGGGUGAUCUUCGGAUCACUUACGCGGCGGACGGGUGCGGAACACGUGGGCAACCUGCCCCGAGGUGGGGGAUAGCCGGUGGAAAGGAAGAUUAAUACCGCAUAAUGUUGAAAGAUGGCAUCAUCAUUCAACCAAAGGAGUAAUCCGCUAUGAGAUGGACCCGCGGCGCAUUAGCUAGUUGGUGGGGUAACGGCCUACCAAGACGACGAUGCGUAGCCGACCUGAGAGGGUGAUCGGCCACAUUGGGGCUGAGACACGGCCCAGACUCCUACGGGAGGCAGCAGUGGGGAAUAUUGCACAAUGGGGGAAACCCUGAUGCAGCAACGCCGCGUGAGUGAUGAAGGUUUUCGGAUCGUAAAGCUCUGUCUUUGGGGAAGAUAAUGACGGUACCCAAGGAGGAAGCCACGGCUAACUACGUGCCAGCCGCCGCUGAAAUAC
rnacentral:rRNA from 1 species